rnacentral:rRNA from 1 species
AGUGAACGCUGGCGGCGUGCUUAACACAUGCAAGUCGAACGAGAACGGAAUAUAGCUUGCUAUAUUUGUCAGCUAAGUGGCGCACGGGUGAGUAAUGUAUAGAUAACCUGCCCUUAAGAAAGGAAUAACAGUUGGAAACGACUGCUAAUGCCCUAUAUGCCUUUAAUACAUAAGUAUGCAAGGGAAACGCUUUAGUGCUUAAGGAUGGGUCUGUAUGGUAUCAGCUUGUUGGUGAGGUAAUGGCUCACCAAGGCUAUGACGCCUAACUGGUUUGAGAGGAUGAGCAGUCACACUGGAACUGAGACACGGUCCAGACUCCUACGGGAGGCAGCAGUGGGGAAUAUUGCACAAUGGACGAAAGUCUGAUGCAGCAACGCCGCGUGGAGGAUGACACAUUUCGGUGCGUAAACUCCUUUUAUAUAGGAAGAUAAUGACGGUACUAUAUGAAUAAGCACCAGCUAACUCCGUGCCAGCAGCCGCGGUAAAAC